GAUGAACGCUGGCGGCGUGCCUAAUACAUGCAAGUCGAGCGAACGGACGAGAAGCUUGCUUCUCUGAUGUUAGCGGCGGACGGGUGAGUAACACGUGGAUAACCUACCUAUAAGACUGGGAUAACUUCGGGAAACCGUAGCUAAUACCGGAUAAUCUUUUGAACCGCAUGGUUCAAAAGUGAAAGACGGUCUUGCUGUCACUUAUAGCUGGAUCCGCGCUGCAUUAGCUAGUUGGUAAGGUAACGGCUUACCAAGGCAACGAUGCAUAGCCGACCUGAGAGGGUGAUCGGCCACACUGGAACUGAGACACGGUCCAGACUCCUACGGGAGGCAGCAGUAGGGAAUCUUCCGCAAUGGGCGAAAGCCUGACGGAGCAACGCCGCGUGAGUGAUGAAGGUCUUCGGAUCGUAAAACUCUGUUAUUAGGGAAGAACAUAUGUGUAAGUAACUGUGCACAUCUUGACGGUACCUAAUCAGAAAGCCACGGCUAACUACGUG
rnacentral:rRNA from 1 species